UACGUAGGGGACUAGCGUUGUUCGGAAUUACUGGGCGUAAAGCGCACGUAGGCGGAUCUGUAAGUCAGGGGUGAAAUCCCGGGGCUCAACCUCGGAACUGCCUUUGAUACUGCAAAUCUCGAGUCCGGAAGAGGUGAGUGGAAUUCCUAGUGUAGAGGUGAAAUUCGUAGAUAUUAGGAAGAACACCAGUGGCGAAGGCGGCUCACUGGUCCGGUACUGACGCUGAGGUGCGAAAGCGUGGGGAGCAAACAGG
rnacentral:rRNA from 1 species